UUUUUUUUUUUUGGGGGUGGGGGAGGGGAUUUACAAAAAUUGGGGGGAUCCAGAAAUUUGGGGGGGGGGGGAGGGGAGGGGAUCCAAAAAACGGGAUCUGGGAUUUUGGGGAUCCAAAAUUUUUGGGAUCCAGCCCCUCCCCCAGCAGGUUUUUGGGAUCCAGUCCCUGGGGAUGAUCCCAGUUAAUCCCAGUUUGAUCCCAGUUUGAUCCCAGUUGCUGGGAGAGCCCCUGGAUGGAUCCCAGUUCGAUCCUGGGUGGAUCCCAGUUCAAUCCCAUUCAAUCCCAGUUGAUCCCAGUCCGCUCAGAGCUGCUGGGAGAUGCCCUGGAUCCGCUGUGAGUCCCAGGCUGAUCUCAGGUGGAUCCCAGUUCAAUCUCAGGUGGAUCCCAGUUCGAUCCCAGCUGCUGGGAGAUGCCCUGGGUGGCUCCCAUUCAUUCCCAGUUGAUCCCAGUCCGCUCAGAGCUGCUGGGAGAUGCCCUGGAUCUGCUGUGAGUCCCAGGCUGAUCUCAGGCGGAUCCCAGUUCAUCCCAGUGGAUCCCAGUUC